AUUGAACGCUGGCGGCAUGCCUUACACAUGCAAGUCGAACGGCAGCACGGGGGCAACCUUGGUGGCGAGUGGCGAACGGGUGAGUAAUGCAUCGGAACGUGCCCAGUAGUGGGGGAGUAACUAGUCGAAAGAUUAGCUAAUACCGCAUACGACCUAUGGGUGAAAGCGGGGGAUUCGCAAGAACCUCGCGCUAUCGGAGCGGCCGAUGUCUGAUUAGCUAGUUGGCGGGGUAAAAGGACCCACCCAAGGCGACGAUCAGUAGCUGGUCUGAGAGGACGACCAGCCACACUGGGACUGAGACACGGCCCAGACUCCUACGGGAGGCGGCAGUGGGGAAUUUUGGACAAUGGGCGCAAGCCUGAUCCAGCCAUGCCGCGUGC
rnacentral:rRNA from 1 species